GAUGUUUUUCCCUGCAAAACUGGAAUCUUCUGAUACAGGUCUGAGCCAGCUUCAAAUUGCACCAAACUGUUGCCAAGUGUGAGCAAGCCGCCAUCCAAGUAGAGAAGGUUUGGCAGACUUGAGCCGGGGGCUUUGUUUGCUUCAGGACUCUUCAAGCCUGAGGGAGUUUGCCUCUUGGUCACCACUCUGCCGGAGCCGCACCACGCUCCAUGGCAGCAGUGUGCCAGCUGCCCCAGCUGCAUGUACUGAAGAGAUGCUUCUGCUUUUUGCAUUUCUUUGCUUGUGUUUUUCAUCUGCAUGUACAGAGAGAUGUGGAUGGAGUAGGAAGCUCAUCAAGGCUGAUAGGGCAUGAAGCUGCUCUGCUUUGGGGAAUGAAAGCAGGAGCUCUCCAGAUGUAUUCCUGAGGUCCUGCAGGGGGAAGGCAGUUCGUGUGUUACCUCAGUCCAGUGUGUUACCAGCUCAAGCUCUGCAUGCAGUAACACUGGAAAGCAGGGGAGACUGGCUUCUCUCAUCUUCUGCAUGCGUAAAUCUGGAUAUCUGCUGCACACUGGCUAAUCUCAACAAGAUUUCAGAGCUGUACUGAGGUUUGUCUGCUUGCAGAGUCAGAGCCAAGUGAGGAUUAGAUGGAUGGUCUGCCGAGGGCUUCUUCCAUGAGAAUGCCUUCCACCAGUGCUACAUCCUAACACCUGCUGAGAACAGAUCUUGUGCCAGACUGUGAAAUGCUCACUUGCACCGCUCCUGCUUGCUCCACCCAUCCAGCAGCCUGGAAUGAGAUUUUCCAAGUAAAGCAUCACAAAGCCUGCACCUGGGAUACAAAGCUCUACAAAACGCACAUCCCUUGUGCUGUGGUUUGGACCUUUCAUUGGAGAUCUUGCUGUGACAUUUGAUUGGGCCUUAAGUACUGAGAUGCCAGAACUCUUCCAACCCACCCUGUAUAUAAUUAUGCUGUGUUAUGCUUCUGACCGCUGGGCUCUGUGGGGUGCCCAAGGAUCCUUUUCCAUGGCAAUUUUACAUUUCUGUAAUGUCACCACCUAUGAAAUGUUUCUUUUAUGUGAUGCACGGGGCUGAUGUUUGGAGAGAAGUAUACAGAAGUAGCUGCUAGGCAGUUGCAGUUUUAGAACAGUUCCUUCGUAAAAGAAUGCUUUUUUUAAAAUGCUUGUUCUAAAGUGGAUCUGAUCUUGCAAGCUAAGGAAGAGACUUGCUUCUGAAGCAGAAAGGGAAACAAACAGGUAGGUAAGAAGUUAAUGAAGAAGCACACACAAACUUGCACAACUCCAGCAAGCACGUAAUGAGAGCAUUACGCUGACAUCAUAAAAACACUGACAAAAGGCAUGGUUUGGUCUUAGAGGAAACACAGGUCAGCUAAGUGCUGAGAUGGGCCUCAAGCAGUGGGGAUGUUUGGAAAUCCAAAUCUGCAGCUCUUCUGAUUGUGAGGAAAUGCCUCUUCUGUGCAUACAGUUGUUAAUGGCAAGGAUCUGUGCUGAGCAGAAUGUUUUCCCAUUCUUCACUGCUGCAGCCCUUGAUCCUGGGGCUUUCUGGGGUUCUGAUGUUAGCACAAAUGUCCACAGUUGUUCCCAAUUACGUGGGUUUAUAUUUACUCACAUCUUUCUGAUCCUUCAGAAAAAUUCUAACAGCAAUUUAAAUGUUUAUGGCACAAUUAGUGUGCUUAAACUGUUGCCUUGCUUUUCUGUUGUAUCUAGAUAUAACACGUACUGUAAGCAGCAGACUGUGCUGUUGGCAUUUUGUUUGAAUUGGUGUGAUAGUCUCUUGCAGUUCUGACAGUAAUGAGUGGCUCUGGGUUAUCUUCCCUAUGUGCAACAAAGUGCAACUGAGAGCCGUGUCCUUUCCAAAUCAAACCUGGGGGACUAAUGUGUAAUAAGAGCAUAAAAAUCAAAAGCAACUGCCGUAUCCUGGGAGCAGCACAAUCCACAUUCUCUUCAAACAAAAGGAUCCCUUCAGCUGCUAUAGGUCUGAUGAAAUGGGGCUUGGGACUUUUUAAGAUUGGAGCAGGGAUGUUUGCUGCCGAUGGGCUGCUGGUGGUCCCCAGAGGAGCUGGUGGCUGGGCCCCAUUUAGAGAAGGUUGCACAGGGCAGUGCUUUGGCAGCUGCAGGAAGCCUUGCUAAAGGGAACGGCUGCCAAGAGCUGCGCAGCUCCAGGGAUGUGACGUGUCAACAGGGGCUCCCCAGGUGCUAUGACUGUUUGUGUGAGAAACCUGGCAGUAAAGGAAAGGGAUGGAGAGAGACUGGUGACUUCUGUCUUCCAGCCCAAAUGGAAGCAGGGCCUCAGACUGCCAACAGAAUGUCCUGCUGCCAAAUGGAGCUCAGAGGAGAAUUAAAGCUAGGUCUUGGUGGUUUGUAAUCACAGAAGAUCUCACAAUGGCUUCUGACAGUGUGCUGCUCUAACCUCAGUGUCCUGGCUGCUUUCCAGCUGCUGUAAUUACCGUCUGUCUUCUGUGCCCCUUCCUUCUAGCACCCUGUAGUUUCAAUUAGAUUUGGUGUUCUUCACUUCUCUCCAGACUUGUGUAUGCGCCUGUGUUCUCCCUACAGAGAAAACCUCCAAACCCACUAUAGUAUUUUAAU